GUUUUAAUAAUUUCAAAAUAAAAUACUGAUCUUGUAAAUCAGAAAUAAGCUCUAUUACUUUUAAAACU
rnacentral:tRNA from 1 species